rnacentral:rRNA from 1 species
UACGUAGGUGACAAGCGUUGUCCGGAUUUACUGGGCGUAAAGAGCGCGCAGGCGGUCGUUCAAGUCGAGUGUGAAAGCCCCCGGCUCAACUGGGGAGGGUCAUUCGAUACUGAUCGACUCGAAGGCAGGAGAGGGAAGUGGAAUUCCCGGUGUAGUGGUGAAAUGCGUAGAUAUCGGGAGGAACACCAGUGGCGAAGGCGACUUCCUGGCCUGUUCUUGACGCUGAGACGCGAAAGCUAGGGGAGCAAACGGG